rnacentral:rRNA from 1 species
CCUACGGGUGGCAGCAGUGAGGAAUAUUGGUCAAUGGGCGGGAGCCUGAACCAGCCAAGUCGCGUGAGGGAAGACGGUCCUAUGGAUUGUAAACCUCUUUAGGCGGGGAGCAAUGCCGGGCACGCGUGCCCGGAGGGAGAGUACCCGCAGAAUAAGCAUCGACUAACUCCGUGCCAGCAGCCGCGGUAAUACGGAGGAUGCGAGCGUUAUCCGGAUUUAUUGGGUUUAAAGGGUGCGUAGGCGGAUUUUUAAGUCAGCGGUAAAAGGUCCGGGCUCAACCCGGGCCGGCCGUUGAAACUGGGGAUCUUGAGUGGGAGAGAAGUAUGCGGAAUGCGUGGUGUAGCGGUGAAAUGCAUAGAUAUCACGCAGAACUCCGAUUGCGAAGGCAGCAUACCGGCGCCCGACUGACGCUGAGGCACGAAAGCGUGGGGAGCGAACAGGAUUAGAUACCCGAGUAGUC